rnacentral:misc_RNA from 1 species
GAUGAAGAACGUAGCGAAAUGCGAUAAGUAAUGUGAAUUGCAGAAUUCAGUGAAUCAUCGAAUCUUUGAACGCACAUUGCGCCCGCCAGUAUUCUGGCGGGCAUGCCUGUUCGAGCGUCAUUACAACCCUCAGGCCCCCGGGCCUGGCGUUGGGGAUCGGCGGAAGCCCCCUGCGGGCACAACGCCGUCCCCCAAAUACAGUGGUGGUCCCGCCGCAGCUUCCAUUGCGUAGUAGCUAACACCUCGCAACUGGAGAGCGGCGCGGCCACGCCGUAAAACACCCAACUUCUGAAUGUUGACCUCGGAUCAGGUAGGGAUACCCGCUGAACUUAAGCAUAUCAAUAAGCGGAGGA